AUCCAAAGUGUUGAGUUCAGUCCAGGGCUGCAUCCCUUGGUCUGGUAAUUAAACUUUGGGACAGCAUGUAGUGCAGAGAUGAGGAAGGUCAGGAAUCUCUGUUCUUGCCAGCUUCCUCUCCCAGCCCACAGAA